rnacentral:rRNA from 1 species
UACAGAGGUGGCAAGCGUUGUUCGGAAUUACUGGGCGUAAAGGGCGCGCAGGCGGCUGCUCAAGUCAGGCGUGAAAGGCCUGGGCUCAACCCGGGAAUUGCGCUUGAGACUGGGCUGGCUUGAGUGCGGGAGAGGAUGGUGGAAUUCCCAGUGUAGAGGUGAAAUUCGUAGAUAUUAGGAAGAACACCAGUGGCGAAGGCGGCUCACUGGUCCGGUACUGACGCUGAGGUGCGAAAGCGUGGGGAGCAAACAGG